rnacentral:misc_RNA from 1 species
GUAGGUGAACCUGCGGAAGGAUCAUUAACGAGUUAGGGUCUUCUAGGCCUGACCUCCCAACCCUAUGUUUAUUAAACCUCUGUUGCUUCGGCGGACCCGUCUCACGACCGCCGGAGGACCGCCGCGAGGCGUCCUCUGGCCAGCGUCCGCCGAUGGCCAACCACUUAAACUCUGAAUAAAUCGUGUUAUUAUGUCUAAGUCUAUGAUUAAAUUAAAGCAAAACUUUCAACAACGGAUCUCUUGGUUCUGG